rnacentral:rRNA from 1 species
GACGAACGCUGGCGGCGUGCUUAACACAUGCCAGUCGAACGGAGAGGCCCUGCUUUUGUGGGGUGCUCGAGUGGCGAACGGGUGAGUAACACGUGAGUAACCUGCCCUUGACUUUGGGAUAACUGCAGGAAACUGGGGCUAAUACCGGAUAGCAGCUCCUGGCGCAUGGUGGGGGUUGGAAAGUUUCGGCGGUUGGGGAUGGACUCGCGGCUUAUCAGCUUGUUGGUGGGGUAGUGGCUUACCAAGGCGUUGACGGGUAGCCGGCCUGAGAGGGUGACCGGCCACACUGGGACUGAGAUACGGCCCAGACUCCUACGGGAGGCAGCAGUGGGGAAUAUUGCACAAUGGGCGGAAGCCUGAUGCAGCAACGCCGCGUGCGGGAUGACGGCCUUCGGGUUGUAAACCGCUUUCGCCUGUGACGAAGCGUGAGUGACGGUAAUGGGUAAAGAAGCACCGGCUAACUACGUG